CAUAAUCUAGCAAUAGUAAUCUUUUAAGAUAUAACACACAAGUUGAGACGCUUUAUUGAUACAAAACAAACAAAGUAACUUUAUUCCAUAAUUUCCUUAAGCGACCAUUUAAGAAAUUUACUGAAUGGAUAAUACACCAACGAGAAAAACAAUCUAUUGACAAGGCAAAACAAGUAAGUAGAAAAAUUGGAAUAUGACAAAGGAACGAAGUAUUCUAUCGAGAUAAUCGUGAUUCAUCUUCAAAAAUACAUAACUUCUAAUCUAAAAUGAAUUUACCAAUGAUAUCUAAACAAAAUUACUUGACCUUGAAGACUAAAGACUAGUUUCCAAUAUUUUAAACAGUAAUUUAAUUUGAAAUUUGCUACAGCAAGUUAGAUUUUUUUUUUUUUUUUUAACCAAAGUUGCAGAGUACAAAGUUUCUGGCUCGUUGCAACAGGGAACGAGCUGGUGUUGCUACGCCGUAAAGUGAUUUUGGCAGUGAUCACUUUAAGGCAUUGCAACUGUGAAGUGCUGAAGAAUGAUGUGAGGCAGAGCUUUUUGCUUUUUUAGAUAUUGAGCAGUUAAGACACUGUGGAAUUAUCCUUUUUGCUGAGAGACCCGUUUUUUACUUUAAUCAUACACACUAGUAAGCACAGUGGAUGCUCCACUACUAUGGAAUUAUAUUGUGAUAGGCUCAAAGAGUAGUUU